rnacentral:rRNA from 1 species
UGGGGAAUUUUGGACAAUGGGCGCAAGCCUGAUCCAGCCAUGCCGCGUGCAGGAUGAAGGCCUUCGGGUUGUAAACUGCUUUUGUACGGAACGAAAAGGUGCCUUCUAAUAAAGGGCGCUCAUGACGGUACCGUAAGAAUAAACACCGGCUAACUACGUGCCAGCAGCCGCGGUAAUACGUAGGGUGCGAGCGUUAAUCGGAAUUACUGGGCGUAAAGCGUGCGCAGGCGGUUUUGUAAGACAGAGGUGAAAUCCCCGGGCUCAACCUGGGAACUGCCUUUGUGACUGCAAGGCUGGAGUGCGGCAGAGGGGGAUGGAAUUCCGCGUGUAGCAGUGAAAUGCGUAGAUAUGCGGAGGAACACCGAUGGCGAAGGCAAUCCCCUGGGCCUGCACUGACGCUCAUGCACGAAAGCGUGGGGAGCAAACA